UACACAGCAUAAAAAUUUUUUAAGUAAAUUUAAUAGCUUUAAAGACCAUCUGUAUAUUCUCUAUUAUUGUUUUUUAAUCCAGGAAACUACCAACAAUGAAGCUGUGGCAGAUAAGAAAUGAAAUGAUGUUAAAAACCGCUUUAACUGCGUUUGUCCUCUCAUGUUUCCUGGGACGCCUGGAUUGUGAAGAGCUAACAGUCAAACAAGCUAAGGAUGUAACUCUGGAGUGCUAUGGCCCCAGUGAUGCUAACAUAAUGAUAAGCUGGCAAAAGCCUGACCUGCAGUCAGAGUAUUAUGUGUUCUACUUCAGCGAUAAACACAUUCACAAAGACAAACAGCAUGAAUCCUUUAAAGGUCGAGUGGAGCUGAAAGAUCGAGAGAUAAAGAAUGGAAACUUUUCUGUGAUUCUCAAAAAAUGUCGCCAUGAACGAUGCUGGAAAAUAUGAAUGUUAUGCUGGAUACCACAGACAGAGACCUAAGCUUUUGAAGAGCAUCAACCUGGAGGUAAAAGAAGAAGGUCAGACACACACAGAGGAUGGAUACCAGAGGAGUGGAUCUGAUGGUUUAGAAGUUGGCCUGUUGAUUUCUGUUGUGCUUGCUGCUGCUGCUGUUUUUGCCUUCUGUUGAACUGCAGCCAGUUUAAAAGGCAACAGAUGGAAAUAUCACAGUGUAUAUUCACUCCACCCACUCACACUCAGCAUUCAGAGUGACAGAUGUUCUCAGAACAGACAGAAGUUAAUGAUGCACAAUUAAACUAAACUGGAAUUUAACACCUGGAGGAAACAUUACGAUAUGUUUGUGUUUGUGAUUAUCUGAAGUUUCCUGCUCAACAUACAUGUUUGUGUUUACAUUGUUAUCUGCUGCCUUUUUCUAGUCACCAGAAAAUUUCACUGAGCAAUUAUAAAUUCUGAAUUUUAUAUUUUGAUAUUUUUAUCCUACACAUUGUUUAUUUUACAUUUUAUUUUUAUAUUUCACACAUUUUUGCAUUUUUAAAGGCUUAAUACUGUUGAGAAGGAAGGUUACAUUAUAUGGAAAGAGGGCCAAACAUAAGCCCUGACGAUCAUCACUGGAUGACUUUGGAAAAAUAUAGAAUGUGAAUUAAAAAAAAAGUAAGAUGUU